GCUCGUCCAAAAUAACUUUUAGCUACCCAAUCCAUUCUUAAAAAAAUUCCGUUCAUAGAAAAUUUCCAAGUUAGGUAACCAUACAUGACCUCUUGUACAUAAUUUACCCUAAAACCGACCAAACGCGACUCGAAAA